rnacentral:rRNA from 1 species
UAGAUUUACAAUUGGGGACUACAAGUUAUUGCUUAAAAACCCAAGAUUUUGGCGGUGUUUUAUUCUAUCAGAGGGAUCUGUCUCAUAAUCGACAACCCACGAAAUAACUAUCUUAUUUUGAUUAUAAGCUUGUGUACUGCCGUCUGUAUAGGCCCUUAAGGUUACCUAUAAUAAAAUUAAAGUGAUUUUACGACAGGUCAAAGUGCAGCAAAUAUUAAGAGGAAGAUGGAUUACAUUCUAUACCAUAGACUAUGAAUUUGUUUAAUACAUAUUUUAAGGAGAAUUUGAUAGUAAUAUUACUAAUAUAGUAUUAUGAAUAAGAUCU